GGCGUGCCUAAUACAUGCAAGUCGAACGCUUCUUUUUCCACCGGAGCUUGCUCCACCGGAAAAAGAGGAGUGGCGAACGGGUGAGUAACACGUGGGUAACCUGCCCAUCAGAAGGGGAUAACACUUGGAAACAGGUGCUAAUACCGUAUAACAAUCGAAACCGCAUGGCUUUGAUUGAAAGGCGCUUUCGGGUGUCGCUGAUGGAUGGACCCGCGGUGCAUUAGCUAGUUGGUGAGGUAACGGCUCACCAAGGCGACGAUGCAUAGCCGACCUGAGAGGGUGAUCGGCCACAUUGGGACUGAGACACGGCCCAAACUCCUACGGGAGGCAGCAGUAGGGAAUCUUCGGCAAUGGACGAAAGUCUGACCGAGCAACGCCGCGUGAGUGAAGAAGGUUUUCGGAUCGUAAAACUCUGUUGUUAGAGAAGAACAAGGAUGAGAGUAACUGUUCAUCCCUUGACGGUAUCUAACCAGAAAGCCACGGCUAACUACGUGCCAGCAGCCGCGGUAAUACGUAGGUGGCAAGCGUUGUCCGGAUUUAUUGGGCGUAAAGCGAGCGCAGGCGGUUUCUUAAGUCUGAUGUGAAAGCCCCCGGCUCAACCGGGGGGGGUCAUUGGAAACUGGGAGACUUGAGUGCAGAAGAGGAGAGUGGAAUUCCAUGUGUAGCGGUGAAAUGCGU
rnacentral:rRNA from 1 species